CCCUCUCCAGCGACCCCCAUUAAGGCAACCCCUCCCCUUUCCCGAGCUACGCAGCCUUUUUUUUUUUUCAGGUACAAGCCGCGGCGGACAAGGAGAGCUUACGACAUUUGGACACGAAGAGCAAAGCAACACCGGACGAAGUGUGCAAGAGCUAGCGGUAGUUGAUAUCGGGCGAAUCAAAGCAUACUUCCAGGUUUUUCCAUCGGGAGAGUUCUCUCUCUUUUGUCUCUCUCCUUUAUCUUCACUACCCAACCCUCACCCCCUACCCCUACUAACCCUAGCUCCGGCGACCCCCCUCUCCGGCGACCCCCAUUUAGUCAACCCCUCCCCUUUCCCGAGCUAGGCAGUUUUUUUUUGCAAGCCGCGGCGGACAAGGAGAGCUUAUGACAUUUGGAUGCGAAGAGCAAAACAACACCGGAGGAAGUGUGCAAGAGCUAGCGGUAAUUGAUAUCGGGCAAAUCAAGGCAUACUUCCAGGUUUUUCCAUUGGGAGUUGGUACCUCCCGACCUCCCUUUUUUUACUCUGUACACCCUUUUGCGUUUUCUAUCUAAGCACCCUGUGUGUGGUUUACUUUGUCGAUUCCUAGCUUGCAUCCUUUUGNNN
rnacentral:lncRNA from 1 species